rnacentral:rRNA from 1 species
GGGUCAGGAGGUUGGUCGUGCCACCGGUACGUACUGGUCUCACUGAUUCCUCCUUCCUGAAGAACCGUAAUGCCAUUAAUUUGGUGUUGCGGGGAAACAGGACUGUUACUUUGAAAAAAUUAGAGUGUUUAAAGCAAGCUAACGCUUGAAUACUUUAGCAUGGAAUAAUGAAAUAGGACGAUCGAUCCUAUUUUGUUGGUUUCUAGGAUUGACGUA